rnacentral:rRNA from 1 species
UACGUAGGGGCCUAGCGUUGUCCGGAAUUAUUGGGCGUAAAGAGCUCGUAGGUGGUUCGGCAAGUCGGAUGUGAAAUCUCCACGCUUAACGUGGAGGGGCCAUUCGAAACUGCUGUGACUUGAGUCCGGUAGGGGAGUGUGGAAUUCCCGGUGUAGCGGUGAAAUGCGCAGAUAUCGGGAGGAACACCAGUAGCGAAGGCGGCACUCUGGGCCGGUACUGACACUGAGGAGCGAAAGCGUGGGGAGCGAACAGG